GCAUAUCAAUAAGCGGAGGAAAAGAAACCAACAGGGAUUGCCUCAGUAACGGCGAGUGAAGCGGCAACAGCUCAAAUUUGAAAUCUGGCCCUUUCAGGGCCCGAGUUGUAAUUUGGAGAAGAUGCUUCGGGUGCGGCCCCGGUCUAAGUUCCUUGGAACAGGACGUCACAGAGGGUGAGAAUCCCGUACGUGCCCGGUGGUCGCCCCCGUGUGAAGCUCUUUCGACGAGUCGAGUUGUUUGGGAAUGCAGCUCAAAAUGGGUGGUAAAUUUCAUCUAAAGCUAAAUAUUGGCCAGAGACCGAUAGCGCACAAGUAGAGUGAUCGAAAGAUGAAAAGCACUUUGGAAAGAGAGUUAAACAGUACGUGAAAUUGUUGAAAGGGAAGCGCUUGCAACCAGACUUGCGCGCGGCCGAUCAUCCGGUGUUCGCACCGGUGCACUCGACCGCGCGCAGGCCAGCAUCGGUUUGGGUGGCUGGAGAAAGGCCACGGGAAUGUGGCUCCCCUCGGGGAGUGUUAUAGCCCGCGGCGCAAUGCAGCCCACCCGGACCGAGGACCGCGCUUCGGCUAGGAUGCUGGCGUAAUGGUUGUAAGCGACCCGUCUUGAAACACGGACCAAGGGAGUCUAACAUCUAUGCGAGUGUUUGGGUGUCAAACCCAUACGCGGAAUGAAAGUGAACGGAGGUGGAGAACCCUUUAAGGGUGCAUCAUCGACCGAUCCUGGAUGUCUUCGGAUGGAUUUGAGUAAGAGCAUAGCUGUUGGGACCCGAAAGAUGGUGAACUAUGCCUGAAUAGGGUGAAG
rnacentral:rRNA from 1 species